rnacentral:rRNA from 1 species
GAGGUAAGAGGUACUACAGGGGUAGGAGUGAAAUCUUGUAAAUCCCUGUGGGACCACCUGUGGCGAAGGCGUCUUACCAGAACGGGUUCGACGGUGAGGGACGAAAGCUGGGGGCACGAACCGGAUUAGAUACCCGGGUAGUCCCAGCCGUAAACGAUGCUCGCUAGGUGUCAGGCCAUGGCGCGACCGUGUCUGGUGCCGCAGGGAAGCCGUGAAGCGAGCCACCUGGGAAGUACGGCCGCAAGGCUGAAACUUAAAGGAAUUGGCGGGGGAGCACAACAACGGGUGGAGCCUGCGGUUUAAUUGGACUCAACGCCGGACAACUCACCGGGGGCGACAGCAAUAUGUAGGCCAAGCUGAAGACUUUGCCUGAAUCGCUGAGGAGAGGAGGUGCAUGG